rnacentral:lncRNA from 10 species
CGGGAGCCACCGUGCCUGGCCAAUAUUGCUUAUAGUACAGGACUGUUGGUAAUAAAUUGUUAGGUUUGUUUUCUAAAGAAGUAUUCAUUUUGCCUUCAUUUUUGAAAAGUAUUUUCAUUGAGUAUAGAACUCUGGUUAAAAGUGGGUUUUUUCAAUAUUUUUUAAAUGUCACUUUAUUGUCUUCUGGUUUGCACAGUUUCUAAUGAAAAACCUGGUAUAAUUCUUAUCUUCGUUCCUCUGCAUUUAAUGUGUCUUCUGUUUUUGGUCGUCUUCAAAAUUUUCUCUUUCUCUUUGGUUUUCAGUAGUGUGGUGGGCGGCUAGGUUGCUAGAGGGUGUUUCUUUUCCUUUGAGACAAGCAUCUUGCUCUGUUGUCCAGGCUGGAGUACAGUGGUAUGAUUACAGCUCACUGCAGCCUCGAACUCCUGGGCAGGAGUCAGUACAGAGCAGCAAAUGUUGAGGUUUCACAGGGGCCUCUCUGGAAACCUCGCCCUCAAGGCCCUGGCUUGUCUUAAAGAGCUCUGAAAUGCCUCUGGGAUCAUCCUUCCAUUGCCUUAAUAAAUGGAACCUGGCUUUCCUCUAUUCCUACAAUCUCUUUAGCAAAUUUUUGCUUGGCUAUGGCCUUGGUUUGCUCUCCUAAAGAUGCCUUUUCACUCUUUACCAGGCCAGGCUGUGAAUUUUCUAAAUCUUUCUGCUCUGCUUUCCUUUUAGUGAUAAAUUCAAUCUUUAAAUUAUUUCUCAUCAGGCAUUUGUUAUAGCAUCAGCCCUGCUUCUUGGUACCAGUUUUCUGUCUUGGUCCAUUUUGUGCUGCUAUAAGAGAAUAUCUGAAGACUAGGUAACUUAUAAAGAAGAAAAUGUAUUUAGCUCCCAAACUUUCAAGUUCUGGAGCCUGGAAAGUCCAAUAUGAAGGUGCCAGCAUCUAAUGAGGGCUUUCCUGCCACAUCAUCCCAUGGCGGAAAAUGAGAGGGUGGGAAAGGAUGAGAGAAGGCUGAACUCGAUUUUAUAACAAACCCACUAUCUUGACGAUGAACCCACUCCCGUGAUAACAACCUUAAUCCAUUCAUGAAGGCAGAUCACUCAUGACCUAAUCACCUCUUACACAUC